AUUUGUCAUUAAAUUUACUAUACAGUAAUAAAAGGAACGGGAAAUGUAAAAACAAUGCUAAAAAAAAAAUUCGGUAUAAAUUUGAUCUAAUAUUGAAAAACGAUAGCUCUUUUAAAGCGGAUAUUAAAACCCGUGUUAAGAAAUGAACAAAAAUGUGUUUCACUGAUUUUGUUGACGAUUUGUUAUCAUUCAAACGCCGAUACACAAAUUUAUGAUUGGAAAGGAAUACUAAUUUAAAUAAACAGAUUUUGAUUCAUUUAAAAAUGUCAGCUAAAUAUUAAAAAAAAACGUUACAAGUUAACAAUACCAAGCUGUCCUAAAUGAAAACAUUUUUAACAAAUGUACCGACUACAUAUAUUUAUGCGAGAAUUCCUGAGAAUAUAAUUUGUGCAAUCACACAUGUAUUCUUAUAUAUUAUUUAAUCCAUUCCGUUUUAAUUAAUGAAGAAACAUUAAUAUUGUUUUUCCUAUUGAAAAUAUACGUGUAUAUACACAAAUUUUUUGUUUUGCAGCGCGAGAGGAAAGCCGAAUUUUCCAUACAAGUGUUUAUUGAGAUUUGCUACAUUUAGGAAAAUUUGGUUUGAAGAUAUUCCGGAUCUACCACUGCAAAUCGUUAGCCGAAUGGGACCACAGGCAGUGCAGGAUACAAAAUGGCUCACGGCUUAUGAUCUUCCCGUUCGAUGCAACCGUCUGUGGAGUAACCGUAAGAUACAAAUUUAAACCCACUUUAUGCAUGCUGCCAUGUUGUACUACUACCUUUUAUAAAAUCGAAGUUCUGCAACAUUCAACAGUUACGUAAAUUGUCGUGUAUGAUUUUAAUUAAAAUGUAUUCAUCGGUAUAAUUUAGCCACUGAUUUGAUUUAGGUCAUAAUGAAAAAUUAAAGUUUGCAAUUGUAAGAUAUGCGUCGCUAAUUUUGCUGAUUAACUUUUUCUAUCCACCCACAAUUUUUUGUAUUAACGUAGUUAUGCAAUAAAAUAUGCAGGAAAGGUUGUAUAAAAACGUUUCUUCUUUACAAAAUAAACCAGCAGUUUAAUUACAUCUCCUAGUAUAGUGUUAUAAACAAAUAAAGAUGGUGUCAUAAAACCAGUGUGGUUUUGAAGACAGCAUAAGCGACAGGAUCAUCAUACUAAAAAUGAUAAAUGAAAAAUAAAAUAUAAUGGAUUUUCGGAAUUAUAUUACUUAGUGCUUUAAUCCAGCCACUCGCAUACAUUGUUGUGAGGAUUAAUAAUUAUUACGAAGUGAAUCAAAGUUAUUAAAAAUAUGCUUUGAUUGAAACCAAUUAUGAUUGUUGUUAUUUUUGCAGGAAGUGUAACUUAAU